rnacentral:lncRNA from 1 species
GUUAAGUUAGUCGGCGACGAGGUGGACGCGCGUGCGCUCCUCUCGUCCUGCACCGAGGGCGAUCGAGCUCGUACAUUUUUUAUUUUUCAUUCGUUUCACUUUUCAAACGUUUUUUUCCUCUUUUGGAGCUAAGCACAUCCUGUGCGAGCGCCAUGAUUUGGACAUCGAUGAGUGAACAAUCAUAAAUAACGUCUACUACGUCGAAAACAACAUCAAAGAUCCGACUCACGUGGACCUCCACUUACGAUGAUCGUCCCACGGAAUUUCUUCUCCACGGCUAACAAUAUGUGGAGAUCCGUCGACACGAGGAGGGAAAACACGUCGAUGAGAUACGAGGAGCACGUAAUGUACAAAUGAUAACUCUGGGUUGGGAGAUUCGCCCGAUGGGACCGACGAUAAAACAACAGCCUUCCUCAAAAUUGUAUCAAACGAGAGCAACACUGAAACUUUUUAAAAUCAUUCGACACCGCUAGAAUUGUGAAAUUUCUUUCAAAAUGAGCACUAAUCAAACCGGAUUAGUAGAAGAAAAAACUUUCCUAUUCCCGUGAGGCAAAAAAACGAGAUAAUCUGGACCAUCAAGAACUCUGGAAAAACCAGCGAUCGACUCGUCACCAUCGAAAUUCGUAAGAUCCUGACAUUUCGAAGAGAAAAAAAACUCAGCGAAUCGGGAAUUCUGAUGUACGUAUUUUGGAAUUAACCAAGAAAUUCAUCAUCGAAUAAUUCCAUAGUUUUUGAAAAUCGCACAAAAAUGACAUAUCUUCAGUAUUGAGGUCCUAUCGAUAGCACACUCCGAAUUCUGAGGCGUCCAACAAAUCACGCUCGUGAUUAUCAUUUAAUUUAUGUAAUGUAAUUAACUUCCAGUGAGAUUAAUUUAAUAAGUCAAACAGUGGGGCACGUGAAAUUAUUUAUUUUUUAACCUCUGUGAUCAAAAACAGCGCAUUCUGCGCAACGAAAAAAAAGUAUUGAACAGUAUUCGUAGUUCGAAUAUUGACGAAAAAUAACACCGAGUCAAAAAACCUCAAUUCCGAAUUAACAUGCGACGAUGAUUGAAAACUUUCUACGAAUACUGGUAAUUGCUAAAUUACCGAAUCCAGUCGCCAACUAACAUCAACUCAACCAUCUAGUCAAUAAAGGAAAAAAACUAGUCACCGAAAUAUCGGGAAUUAUUUCAAAGAUGAAGGAAACUUGUGAUAAUAAGUCGUUGAAAAAAUAUUUUUAAAUGUUUAUUCUAGUCAAAGCGAAAUUAUAGUUUUUUUUGAGCACGAUUCAAAUCUAGUCCAUGCUGAAACAUUCCAGUAUUAAAUAAAAAAGUAUAAAUACAAAUAGACGUUCUAGUCAGAAUCAAUCAAAGAAAAAUUUAACACUAACAGAUAGAUUUUAAAAAUCCAAAUGUAUUGAAAAAAAGAAAAGUUACUGUGAACCUCUAGUCAUAAACAGAACAUUUUCGUGAAUCUAGUCUUUCUCGAUCUAGUCAUCAUUACGUAUCAAGGAAAAGGUAAUAAAAAACAGAAAAGUAUAAAAUAAAAAUAAGAAAGCGCACCAAAGAUGGAGAAACAGAAAAAAUAUUAAAUUUAACGGAUGUUCGAGUACACGAAUAUGCAGGCCGAUUUAUCAUGCAAUUAUAUUUUUCAAAGAAAUUCAAGGGUUCUUUUCUCACUAUACACAUUUUUUCUCUCUGUGGUAUUUGAAAAAUCCUGCUUUCUUUAUUUAGCUUACUCACAUUGUUAAACAUUUAUUUAUAAUUCAUUUGAACAACUCGAACCGUGGAUACGAUGCCAUAAUUUUAAUUUUCAAAGGUCCAUUACGAAAGAUGCGUCAAACCUAAAUUAUAAAUAAUAGUAAUAAUAAUAAUACCAAUAAUAAUUAAGAACAUAUAAAGUAAACGAUUUAUUUAAUCAAUUAUUAUACCGCAUCAGCAGUAAUUUACUAAAAAAUAAAUUAGGGACUUUGCCAGUAUUAAAUAUACGAAUGAUUUAACAGUAUAAAUACUGGAUAUUCCAAAAAAAAUAUAUCACUUGUGAAAAUUGAGUUAUCCAUUGAUCGAACUAUUUUCAAAAAUUCUUAUUAUAACAUAAAUUAUUGCAUGGAAUCACUAAAAAUAUGGAAAUUUUAUUCAUUUUGCAAACUAUUAUUAGAUAAAAAUCCAAAUUUCACUCAAAGUGCAUACACAGUUUAUUGGUUAAUAAUCGGACAAUUCACAAGUAAUAUUUCGACAAUUGAAUUUUUCUAUUCAACGGUUGUUGGAAGUCCUGAUGGCAGCUACGUAAAAGACUCGUGAAUCGAAUUUCAUUCAAUGAGUUUAUAUCUUAUCUAUCGUUUGGUAUUCAACUACGUAUUAAGGAAAAUAUUUAUUUGUGGCUGUGCCUAUUUUUCAUGUAUCUCUAAAUCUUGAUCUAUAAUCUAAAAAAUCUAGUCCUCCGAAUUAAUGAAAAUUAAUUUUGUUUCUAGUCCACUUCCUAGUCGUUUUCUAGUCACGAAAAACCGAAGUACACGAUAAAAAUUUCAUGCGAAUUCAAAUAUUCAUUUCAGCUAGGCACGAAACUUGAAGAACGAAAUUUCGUUAUAUGGCUUUCGUUUACGCCACUUUGCUUCUAUUCUGGGAAAAACAAAAAGUAUAAAUAACAUAAAUAUGUUCAGAUACACAUUUCAGAGCCUUUCUGCAUAAAAUUUCAUACCCUACGAAAAAAAAUUACGAAUGUAUAUGUAAAAUACGUAAAUACAUAAGUACUUAUAUGCGUGUGUGUGUGUAUGUGAGACAAUACACACGUAACGAGAGUGAAGUCUAGUCAAAAACCUAUGAACACGACCCGAAAAAUCUCUCAGAUUGCAAACCAAAUGAUCAGAAAAAUGUGUAACUAAAAGUAAAAAUUUUAAAAAGCAAAAAUGAAUGGAUCCAGUAGGGUAUUGAUCUCAGUUCAUAGGAAAACCACGUCUAGUCUAUAAGACUAUCGAUUAUCAUACAAUAAUAAUUGUAAUAAUAGCUAAAAAAUAAAAUACUUUUAAAUUUUCAUAUAAUAUAAUGUAAAAGAUUCGUAAGAUUUGGUAUUCAGAUUCAACGAUUCUGUACGAAUGAUUUUUAUAAUACUAAUUUUACGAUAUAUUUAGUAUAUUUUUAAACUAAAUUUAUAAUAUAUUUAGGUGUGAAUAUUUAACGAGCGUAGAAAUCAUUCAUUUAAUAUCUCUGAGAUAAAUAAUAACAUUAUAACUUUAAUUUAUGAUUGCUAUAUAUGAAAUCAUAUUUCGAAUCUGCGUUUGAUUAUUUAUUGACUUUUGUGUGCGAGUGUUCGGUGUGAGGAUUUGCUUUCUACAAUUUAUUGGGUGUCAUUUAUUUAUAAGAUUAAAUUAUUUGCAUCAAAAUAUCGAGUAAUAAAAAAAUCACUUCGACAACGUCUCAUUAUCAUGAGUCGAGUGCUCAAAAAAUACCUCCAGACCCUACAUAAUUUAUAAAAAGCUGAAUGAUUAAAAAACUCACAAUGCUCAAACAGAAAGUUUUAUAGCUACGACUGCUUGUCAUUACGUUAUUUUCGGACGAAUUCUGUGCCACUCUGUUUAUUACUCACUGGCCAUUUCGACGUUACGUUAAGCAUCGAUUAUUUUAAUAGAAUGAAAAUACGAAAAUAUACAUUGUAAAAAGAAAAACAAACAAAAAAGAAACAAGAAAUUCCAAUAAACCAUUCCCACCACCGGAAACAAUGAAA